UUUUCGAUUUCGCGCUGAACAACAAACAGGGUAUCGAAUGCGGGAGAUUACAAGUCCCGGUAUUUAUCAGGUUUUACUCAGCCAAAACCACCGCCCACCGCCCACCGCCCACCCUGUCCGCGCCCCAAAAGUGGAGGCACGCGAGCAUUUGCCGCUUAUCACCGGCGAUUGUCUGAUAAGCGGACUGCAGCCAAGUAGUUCGUUUGCCAAUACACGGUUACUAUCCCCCCAGAUAGUCACCCUAUAUUUGCCAACAUGUGUAGCUACAUGCUGGCACUGAAAGAAAUUGGGUUCGCUUGGCAUAAUACUAUAUGCUUGCCACUUUAUGGUUUAUGCUAAAAGAGGUAUAUGAUGGUUUUUAUGUGUGAAAUAAAAUGUGAAAAUUAGUUUAGGUGCAAGUUAUACGUUAUACGUUAUACGUUGCUAGUUGCGCUAUAUCGGUGCCAGAACAAAAUGUGUGCUAAGAUACCAGCUAAGGCGAAGAACAGCAGUAUCUUAUCGCCAUAAAAAAAAAGGGGCGGGGGUAGUGAAAGUGGAGUGGGUGGCGGUGGGAUGACCACCCAGUUGGUGGGGGAGCGGUGGUUGAGUUUCAAAGUGCGAAACAGCUAAAACAAGUGUUCAAUUCAAGCACCAUGCGACAACAUUUCCAAUUAGCCAGCAGUUAGUGGGGUGGUUGCGUUGCGGCCAGAAGUCGGCUUAGCACAGUCAAGACCCCCUAAGAGGGCCGACAUUGAAGUUGCUGAUAUAUAUAAUCGGCACGCUUCCCACCAGCUUAUCUUCGUGUUACUUUAAUGAAAUUUUAAGUGUCGAUGUGUAAAAAUAGCCUUGUUAUUGAUUAGCGCCAUAAACGAGCUAUUAGGCUUUUAUGGCGGACUUCCAGUUUCCUUGGACGAUUUGGUGCUAUUGAACAACAAACUAAUAAUCAGAAUUGUGGGAAGACAGAUUACGCCUGCCAACCGACUAAUAUAGUUGAUUUAAAGGGUUUAGUAUCGCCCACACAAGUGUUACAAUGACUUUCGAUUUGUUGAUUUAUUAGUCAGUGGUUAGUGUUUCGCAGAAACGACUUAGAUCUUUAAAAAUCAGAUUUUACUGUACUGUGAAGUUAAAUCGUAUUAUCGAACCAGUUGUUCGCCUGCUAGAGUUUCACUUGAAAACCAAUUCCAAAUUGCAUUUGGCAACUGCCACGCGCCCAUCGGGGGAUUCUAAAUGGUUGCAGCCAUUUCAGAUGUUACCUUGAAUUUGAUAUGCAAUCAAAAGGUAUCGCAGCCUUUCCAGAAACUGGCAAACAAUUAACAGUUGCUCGCACGGCAGCACAAAUGCAGUGACACACCGAAGGCCAAGGUCCUUCGGGCGAUUGACUAAACGGCCAAGGACACUCGGCGAGCAUAAAAAUCCUGUUGUUCACGGGACAAAUAUUUACAACGGCAACUGUUCCGCUACCGAAGUCGUAUACAUAUAUCCAGUGACAUUGAAAUCUUUUGCCAUUCCUGCAAGGAGCUGCAAAGAGUACCGUGGAGUGCCAGCAGAGCGCAACUAAAACGCAUUUUAUGUGGAUUUGGAUCUGGCUAUCAGACCGAAUGACUUACUGGCCGCUGUGCGUGAAUUUCAGCUGCUAAACAAUUCGUUGUGGCCAUUUAAAAGGCUCGAAAGUCGGACUGCUAGCUGCGUGGCCCUGACUGUGGGUGUGUUGCACUUCCCUCCGCCGGUUGCAUAAACAAAUUGCGAAAUUUCAGCAGUCGCCAUGCAAUGCAGCUACUCCUAACCGAAACGAACAAAUGCAUCGUAAAGUACUGGAGCUUAUGACAAGUCAUUGGCUCAGGUAAUUACCGGCGAAUGUGUCUAGGGCAACACUUCUCUUCAGACCUUUUCAGCGCUGAACUGUUGUAUCUGCGGUAUCUGAAGUUGAAUCUUGAAUGCCACGGGAUUAGACGAGCAGCAGAGCAGCAGAGCAGCAGAAACCGCAGCGGACAGAUGGAUAUGGAUGUGGACAAAAGAAUGCGUCAAAAGCCGCAGCAUAAGUUCUAAAAUUUCAUAAAUUGUAGCAACAAUGGGGCUGAGGGCAAAGCCAAUGGGUAAUCCGAUAUGAUUAUUGACAUGCAUGCAGCACUGCCAGUCCUCCAGACUCCAUACGCCAGCUCCUCACUCCCUGAUCUUCCAGACAUGCACAUCACCAUCAAAUCAACUCCACUCAAAUCAAAUCAAAGUAAGCCCUCAGCCGAGCCAUUCUAAUAGAGCAUUAUGA
rnacentral:misc_RNA from 1 species